GGAAAACUGGUUGAGGAAGGGGAAAUCUUGUUUCAAGCUUAACAAAGCUAACUACCAGUGGUAUAGGAAAUGCAUUAACACUGACAGCAGUCUGAGAUGAGGGUGGGGCUUCAGGCUGUGCAGCCGGGUCGCAACUGGUAAAGGUGAACUGUCAUUUUUGUUCAAGCCAGAGAAAGCAUCUGCCUUUGCGCUGAAGAAGAUAGUUUGAACAUUCUCUAAACAGUUUCCUUUCCAGAAGGAGUUGUAACUGGGAUCCCACUAACGAUAAGUGUGCUGUCCUGGAAGGAAGCUGAAACUGCUUCAUUGCAGUAGGAAGGAAUAUUCCAGGAGUAGUGGAAAACGGUAUGUAUGUGUUGUGGCCAUUCGAGGCCUUUUUUUUUCCCCCUUGGAAAAGUCAAUAACUAAUACUGGAUUAAGUUUUCAUUUCUUGCCAUAGUUAUCCCAUAAGAAGAGGCUUCAAUCAGUUAUGUUCUUUUAGUCUUAAGCCCUCUCAAAUAUCUCGAGUUGAACCGAGCUUUGCAUUGUGUGUACCAGCCAUCCCAGUGUGAAGAAUCUGUUUUGAAGCUAAGGGAGCUGAUCCUGAUGCAAAACUUCAACACUGUGAGCUAGAUCAAGGUGCUGAUGCUCUAAACUUGGGGUCAGGCCGCUGCAUGAGAUUUUAAUUCGACUUGGAAUGAUUGCACCAAAAAUAAUGAAGACUUAAUU
rnacentral:lncRNA from 1 species